rnacentral:tRNA from 1 species
ACACCGGUGGUUCAGUGGUAGAGUGCUCGCCUGCCAAGCGGGCGGCCCGGGUUCGAUUCCCGGCCGGCGCA